UACGUAGGGGCAAGCGUUAUCCGGAUUUACUGGGUGUAAAGGGAGCGCAGACGGCAGCGCAAGUCUGAUGUGAAAUCCCGGGGCUCAACCCCGGAACUGCAUUGGAAACUGCGCAGCUCGAGUAUCGGAGAGGUAAGCGGAAUUCCUAGUGUAGCGGUGAAAUGCGUAGAUAUUGGGAGGAACACCGGCGGCGAAGGCGGCUUACUGGACGAAGACUGACGUUGAGGCUCGAAAGCGUGGGGAGCAAACAGGAUUAGAUACCCGUGUAGU
rnacentral:rRNA from 1 species